GUCCACGCCGUAAACGAUGGGUACUAGGCGUCGGGGGAGCGACCCCUCCGGUGCCGUCGCUAACGCAGUAAGUACCCCGCCUGGGGAGUACGGUCGCAAGACUGAAACUCAAAGGAAUUGACGGGGGCCCGCACAAGCGGUGGAGCAUGUGGUUUAAUUCGAAGCAACGCGAAGAACCUUACCUGGGCUUGACAUGCUGGUGAAAUCCGGUGGAAACAUCGGACCCUCUUCGGAGCACCAGCACAGGUGCUGCAUGGCUGUCGU
rnacentral:rRNA from 1 species